UACGUAGGGGCCGAGCGUUGUCCGGAGUUACUGGGCGUAAAGCGCGCGCAGGCGGCGGUUCAAGCCUGACGUGAAAGCCCCCGGCUCAACCGGGGAGGGUCGUCGGGGACUGGGCCGCUUGAGGUCGGCAGGGGUUGGUGGAAUUCCCGGUGUAGUGGUGAAAUGCGUAGAUAUCGCUUGGAACGCCAACGGUGAAAACAGACUGCUGGGGGUGUGCUGACGCUGAGACACGAAAGCCAGGGGAGCGAACGGG
rnacentral:rRNA from 1 species